UGACACACUGCUUACUUGUGGUAUCCCAAAUUUUUAUAGUUUUAUCCUCACUACAUGAUACAAUUAGUCUUCCAUCGGAAGAGCACACUCUGAACUCC